ACUCCUACGGGAGGCAGCAGUGGGGAAUAUUGCACAAUGGGCGCAAGCCUGAUGCAGCCAUGCCGCGUGUAUGAAGAAGGCCUUCGGGUUGUAAAGUACUUUCAGCAGUGAGGAAGGUGGGUAUGUUAAUAGCAUAUUCAUUUGACGUUAGCUGCAGAAGAAGCACCGGCUAACUCCGUGCCAGCAGCCGCGGUAAUACGGAGGGUGCGAGCGUUAAUCGGAAUUAACUGGGCGUAAAGCGCAUGCAGGUGGUUUGUUAAGUCAGAUGUGAAAGCCCGGGGCUCAACCUCGGAAUUGCAUUUGAAACUGGCAAACUAGAGUACUGUAGAGGGGGGUAGAAUUUCAGGUGUAGCGGUGAAAUGCGUAGAGAUCGUAGAAGGAAUACCGGUGGCGAAGGCGGCCCCCUGGACAGAUACUGACACUCAGAUGCGAAAGCGUGGGGAGCAAACAGGAUUAGAUACCCUGGUAGGCUCU
rnacentral:rRNA from 1 species